GGGGGCAUGGCGGAAUCGGUAGACGCAGCGGACUUAAAAUCCGCAGGCUGCAAGGCUGUGGGGGUUCAAGUCCCCCUGCCCCCA
rnacentral:tRNA from 1 species